UUUUUUUUUUUCUUUUUCUUCUUCUUUCCUUUUUGUGGCCUCACUUGCCACAUAUGUAAGUUCCCAGGCUAGGGGUGCAGCCCUAAAAAUAAAAGGAAAGUUCUGUCUGUUAUGUCAGAAUUUCUGUGGACUGCCAUGAGGCUAAGGCUGGCUGGAACCCCUGGGCUCUGAUCCCAGCAGGCCCACAUUGGUGCCCAGCUGCCCACAGCCCGGCCCUUGGUCCCCUGGGGAAAGGACCCACCCAUCCCCAUCCACGACCAGCCACAGGUGGUAGGGCCUGGCUGGCUUUGGGGCUCAGCAAGGCAGUGGGGCCACAGCACUGGGACUCUGGGAGGGAAGACACAGAGGUUUGUGCAAACAGCACACAGAGGCUGGCCUGGAAUGCAGCCACCAGCCCGCUACAGCGGGAGGCGUCCCCAGGGAGCGGAUUCACUUGGCACCUGGUCACAGUAAUUACUGCUGAACUUUAAAAACUAACGCAGCAAAACCGCAAAUAUUUAACAUGUGCUCCUCCUCCCGGGGGGCACAGAGGAAACAGGAGCAAAUGGCCAGAUUCACAACAUGAACUCCGAGUCUGCUCACAGAACGGAUUAAUAAAGAAGCCAGCCGAGACAAGAUGCUCGGGCCCCCAGCAAGCAGCAGCCGCCCCGCCGCCUCCAGUUUGGCUCCUCAGGCUGCGAGCUACAGACUCAGGUCCCCUGAGGGCCACGCUGGGACUACAUGACACACAGGUGCAUAGACACUUGGGUGUAUAUAUGCACCUGAUCACAGUCUUAGAAGAGCCGACCCCCUGCCUUCGCCCCCCUCCUCGGGCCCCAUAGAAAAGCCUCCUUGGGUGCUGCUAAGAGCUGCCAUGGGAUCCGGUCCAGCCUCCUGGGUUAGAGACUGUGGUCCAGCCCUGCCUGUCCAGCCCACGCUCUGCAGAGGGAGGACUUCCAGGAGGGGCUGCCCAGAGGUUUCCUCCUGGCAGGAACAAAGGCUCAGCCUCAGAGCAAGGAAACACACAGUUCUGAAGAAAGGGAGGAGGUGCGGGAGUGUCAUGACUUGGGUGCAUCUGCAGAGCCAGACCCAUGGCUGACGGCAGCUCCCAAGAGAUUCUGGACAAAGUGCUUCGUCCCAGCAGGUGCAUAUGCUGGGAGGGGGACCCUUCAGGUAAGGGGCAAUCAGGGGGCGUGGCGGGACCGGGUGCCAGUGUGUGGUGGGAGCAGCACUGAAGCUGGGCGCUGGGGAGGUCCAAAUGUGGGGCCUGCUGUCAGCUUUUCCUCCUACUCCCUUUGCUCACAACCCUCAGCCACGUCUCCCUCAACCUUUGCCAGGUGGCCCUCCUUCGUAGCAGUCGGGAUAAAGAUGCUGACCCUCAGCCGUCCUUGCCAAGUGUGGGACUCGGUGCUGUUGUGGAGAGGCAGGUAUUUGGCGGGUCUCUCUGUUCUGGGGAAAGGGAGCCAGCUCCCCCUCAUUUCCCACCAGUAGAGAGAUCUAGGUUCUGAGACCUCACCACCAGCCCUAAGCUGAUGCCUAACAUUUAAGUGGCCCAAUGCCCAGUGUAGCCAGGUCCAGGUGGCUUAGCUCUGUCCCCAGCCCUACCCACAGCCUCACUUUGUAUUCCCAGGGGACAGCAUGGUCCUCUCAAUUGAUCGGUGGCUCCAGGGCCCGCUGUCCAGGUCCACAAAGACUUCAGGAUAGAGCUGGAUCAACUCCAGCCCCCAGACAACUACCACCCAGUUCCAGGUUCAAGGUGGGGGAAGCGGCGGCUGGGGGCGGGGGUGGAUUGUGCAGGAUGCUCCCAUCCCCGUGUGCAGUGACCUUCCUGCCCUAUCCUGGCCGCUUCUCUUGGGGCUGGUGGGGGCAGGGCCACCUGAAGGCAAGAGCCCCAAGGGCCCCCCAUUCCAAGUGUCCCAAGGGGCAAGUUCAGCUGAGCCCAGGCCUCUGCCUGGGUCAUCCUCACCUAAGCUCCCCACAAGGCAUCUACCUUGACCAGAUAAGGGGACACAAGGGGACAGCGAAUGGUGGGGCCAAAGGUGAGAGGUCACUCCCAUCGGAAUGCCCCAGCCUGGCUUCCCCUCCCCCAGCCCUUUGCUCUGCUCUCGCCUCUCCACUGAGACCUCAGAGUCCCAGGUGAGGACCAGGCGGAGGUGGAAGGAAGAGUCACAGGAGAAAAUCCUACCUCUCACUUGUGUGGCGUUUGGAGCAGAUGAGGAAGGGAAGGCGGAAACAGUCACUCCUUUCUACUAACAGGGAUGCCAGAAGGGCAGGCACUGCCUCCAAGACCCCAUCCAGGGCCCAGCAGGGGCGCCCCCAGGCUGGCACGGUGACCAAGGGAUGUGGCCGCUCGUUUUUAAUUUUCACCUCUCACAAAUUUCAUUACUGAACAAUUUCCAGUUAGAAGAAGGAGGGCUUCGGGCUGGCUCCAGGACCUGAUGCCCUCAGGGUGCCUCUGGGGCUGUGCGGGGUCAGCCUGGAGCCAAGAGGAGCCACCCUCCCAGGCUCGGGACCUCCUGGGCCUGAUCAGGUCUCAGUGACAUGCAGAGCCAGAGGCCUGGAGACCCAGUUGUGACCCCUUCAGUCACAAACAGCCACUCAGCUCCUGAUGUACCCACACAGAAUGACGCAUAUGCACACACACGCUCCUGGCCCUGUGACAUCUGCCCCGCUCCCAACACAUCACAUGUCACACGCACAGCUGAGCUGGAUGGCUCCCCAAACCUCGGGGUAAUGACUACAGGCCCCCUGUCCCCAUCACCUGUCGGGUCCCUCCUCCGUGGAUCUGCCUUGGAGCAGGUGCAGGCUGGCUCUGCUCCAGCCUGGCCCCUAGUGGGGUAUGUGUAUGUGUGUGUGUGUGUGUGUGGCCCCUGCCUCUGGGCUCCCUGGAACAGCUGCCCAGAGGAGGAGCUACUGGGGGUGGUCCAAGCCCCUCCCCCCAUCCCCACCCCAAAGCAGCCUCCCUGUGCAGGCCGCCUCUCCAGCCUUUCCCAGCUUGCUGUGCCUGCCGCAGGCCCUCAGCAGACCCCCUCCGGCCCUGAGGGCUCCGGGGUGGGAGGUGGGGCAGGAGACCAGGCCUGGUCCUGGACAACCCCGGCAGAUGGGGCCCACCCAGCAGCAGCAUCUGGGCCUGCUCCUGUGCACAGUGGGGGAGGCGCGGCCUCCAAGCUGCAGGCGCACAUUUUAAGGUGUCUUCAAUUAUUCAUCAAGACUGGGAAGAGCUGCCCGCCUGCUGCGAGCAAUCCAGCAGCCACUCGGGGAAUGCUGCUUGCGGCUCUUCUGGCUGUAACCUAGAGGGGCCUUGGGGGGGGUCUCCAUCCAAUGUGAGCCCCCACCAACAGACUGAACCUGACAUGGGGCGGGGGGCCAGCCCAGCACCUUCCCCUUCUGAGAGGUUGCAUGUGGUUGUGGGCCCCACACUCGGGGUGCAGAUACCACCUCAGGGUGCAGGUCUGGGUCGUUGGGGAAGGAGGUGGGCAGCAACAGGAGACAGACAGGGCCUGGCCAGGGAGUCUGGGGUAGGGUUUGGGUUUCAUGGGCCAGAGCCAGUUUAGAGUCUGGGUGGCUGGUAACCCAUGGAGCCUGGUCACAGGCACAUGACCAGAGGCCAGGGUCACCAAAAGCCUGGAGCCAGAGCAGCUGGUCUUCCCCAGGGCCUGCGUAGUGGCUGUUAGGAGCCCCCAUGAGGGGCUGGGGACACUGAGAAGGAAAGCCCAGGGCCCUUUAGACUGUACCUGUUCAUGCCUGGGACAUGAGACUUAUGCCAGGAAGAAAAGUGCCCACAUACUGCUCCCGCCCAACCAAUAUCCCCCUUCCCAUCCCAUUAGCACCUGUGCACUGCCCCUCCCCACUCUCAGCCCCUGCAGUUUGGACGGGAUGACACAAUGCACACUAGGAGGGACAUGUGAUCCAGCUGGUCCAGCCAGCCCACAGCCACAGGAAUUGGCUCAAGGAGGUGACAAAGCUAGGGUAAUAAUGAAGGCCUGGAGAUCCCAGGACCACCCCCACUGGGGAAAGGCUGCCUGGAAGUGAAGCCCAUAAAGGAAAGAGGUGAGGAAUGGAGAAGCUGAGUUCUGGUGACUGAGAUAUCACCUGACUACAGCCCUACCUGAUGCUGUUUCUUUCACCUGAAAUGUUCCUGUCAAUUCAAGACCCUUCUUCCUACCCCUCUCUCUGGCACCGGCUUUCUCCUAACAGCCACUACACAGGCCCUGGGGUGAAAACAGAGCUCCAGCCACCACUCCUCCCUUCCAGGCACCAGCUAAGGGGAGAAGCGACAGUGAGAUGGCCCAGGGCUGGGCAUCCUACAGGUACCCCCCCUCCCAGAAAGAGGGGUACUCAAGAGGGCUGCAGUCUCUGGCAUGUACGGUAGCACCCUGAUGAUGUCAGGGUCAGGAUUAGGGUUUAAAACCUGCUGACAGGCACCUGACACACACCUUCAUGUAGCCACACAGGCUAGACAUACAGUCUGACAUGGGCCUCUAUACACCUGUGCGUACACCCUCACAAGGACACUCAGAGACAUGCACGCAGACACACACACAUGCAGACAUGCACAUUCUCAAACACAUGUUCAUAGUCACAUGCACACACUUACAGAUGAGCCCCCAGGCACACCCCAGAGACUGGGCAUCUACCCUCCGGGUCUCCAGCAGGCCAUGGAGCAGAGUCGGGGACCUUUGGAAGGGUGAACACCAGGUGAAAAGUGAUUAGCUGUCACUCAGCACUUGAUGGAUGCAGCUUGCUCUUGGCAAAGGGCUGACAUGUUAUUGAUCCACUUAGUGCACUCAUACCAGCAGCCCCAGAACCUGAGCCUGGAUGAGCUACUGAACACAAGGAGCAGAGGAGGAAAGGGCAGCAGAGAAGUGAGGGGCAGUCUUGCCAGGGGUGGGGUGGGUGGGAAACAGUUGUUUCUCU
rnacentral:lncRNA from 1 species